CAAUUCAAUAAUAGAAUAACUCGUAUAAAAGUAGGAAUAUGGCCUACAAGUCUCUACCAAGCUACCGUAAAUGGCUUGACUACGAGUGAUACUUUAAUUUCC
rnacentral:ncRNA from 2 species